rnacentral:tRNA from 2 species
GCGGGUAUGGCGGAAUUGGCAGACGCGCUAGAUUCAGGUUCUAGUGGGGGCGACUUCGUGCAGGUUCAAGUCCUGUUACCCGCACCA